GGGUUACUGAAGUGUUAGUUGCAAGCCGGGGUCUCAGACGAGGGCUCCCGUUAAAAAGUCUGAAAAAAAAUAAGUGCUGAAGAAAACUACGCACUCGCUGCCUAAUUAAUCGGCAACGCCGGGCCUCGACUCACUCCCAUUGGGUAGUACGUCCGGACGCAAUAUGGGAUAGGGAAACGUCAUGCCUGGGGGCGGUUCUCGAGAUUCACUAGGCUGGUCAAAGUCUGCGCCGACCUUCUUGGGCGUGGAUCAGACGAGAUCUUAAAUCCGAAGGGAAAGCUUGUAGGAAUGGACAGGGAUGUGAUCUUGGACAGGGGUUCGACUCCCCUCACCUCCACUA
rnacentral:tmRNA from 1 species